rnacentral:snRNA from 1 species
AUCGCUGUCCGUUCCGCAAAACUCCGCAAGUUGAAAGUUUUUGGCAUGAUAUCAGGUAAGUAACGGCGCCGCUUGGAAUGGUUUCCACAUACCCUUGUGCAUGUGCACCGCCUUAUAUUUUCCUCCACUCAUGUACUUUAGG